AAUCUUUUAAAAUAUUGGCCCAAAAAUAGCCAUAUCCAAUAUGCUUUUAUUGGAAAUAUUUUCUCACUGAAUGGCACAUCUAUUAGCAGCAUUACAGCUUGCCGACGGUGACAUUUCGGUCGGCCGUCAGGAACUCUCCGCAAUUAACUACAGAAACUAAGGCAAUAAGAGCAGUAUCGCUUCAGGAAAUUUCCCCAUAUGCGAUUCGAUGAAAGCACGAUUCAACAUAGAAAGGAGGUUUCAGUCUUGGAGUCGAUUUGGGUCUUGCCCGUACUGGACUUGCCCUUAGUAUUGGCUACAAUUUUUGACCCUUAAUGAGAUUUGUGAUGAAGUCAAUUUAGGUGGUAGGUCAUGAAGUUCUACCCUCCUCUAUGUGUUGAUUUCCAUCUAAUCAGUUCUCUGAUUUUUGAAGAAUGAAGUUACAAGUCAAGAUGAAAGUUUAGAAGAUGCACAAGCUCAUUAUUAUUUUGCUAAGAACGUUAUGUAAAACUUGAUAACAUAGUCUAGCUUGGGAUGCUAAUUGAUUUAAGUGUUUUUUGUUGAGCAAAUAUUGAAACUAUAUCAAUCAUCAUUUUGUAUUGAAUUUUUUAUUCAGUUAUGAAAUUAAUUAAUUUUAUGAUCUGAA